rnacentral:rRNA from 1 species
GACGAACGCUGGCGGCGUGCCUAAUACAUGCAAGUCGAGCGCAGGAAACUGACGGAACUCUUCGGAGGGAAGGCAGUGGAAUGAGCGGCGGACGGGUGAGUAACACGUAAGGAACCUGCCUCAAGGAUUGGGAUAACUCCGAGAAAUCGGAGCUAAUACCGGAUAGUUCAACGGACCGCAUGGUCCGCUGAUGAAAGGCGCUCCGGCGUCACCUUGAGAUGGCCUUGCGGUGCAUUAGCUAGUUGGUGGGGUAACGGCCCACCAAGGCGACGAUGCAUAGCCGGCCUGAGAGGGUGAUCGGCCACACUGGGACUGAGACACGGCCCAGACUCCGACGGGAGGCAGCAGUAGGGAAUCUUCCACAAUGGACGAAAGUCUGAUGGAGCAACGCCGCGUGAGUGAUGAAGGUUUUCGGAUCGUAAAACUCUGUUGUAAGGGAAGAACACGUACGAGAGGGAAUGCUCGUACCUUGACGGUACCUUACGAGAAAGCCACGGCUAACUACGUGCCAGCCGCCGCAGUAA